rnacentral:rRNA from 1 species
AUUUCCGGGGCUAAAACUUACUACCGAAGCUACGGCAUCAGUAAUGAUGGGUAGGGGAGCUUCCCAUACGGGUUGAAGCAUGACCGUAAGGACAUGUGGACAGUAGGGGAGUGAGAAUGUUGGCAUGAGUAGCGAGAUGUGGGUGAGAAUCCCACAGGCCGUAAACCCAAGGUUUCCAGGGGAAGGUUCGUCCGCCCUGGGUUAGUCGGGACCUAAGCUGAGGCCGAAAGGCGUAGGUGAUGGACAACAGGUGGA